CGUUGGCGUGGUCUUGUUACGCCUCGCUGGAUCGUGUUCAGUCAUGCCGUCCUUGCGCGGCGUGAUUGUCGUGCGGCUGGCGUGAGCUGUCUCCACGAUGCGCUUCGAGCGUGUCGAUUUCGCCGUUCUUUAUGUUGGCGUUAACGACCUUGAAAGCAACAUGGAUCCACAAGAAAUGUGCGACAACAUCAAGGUAAGUCUACUGAAAUCACAAAAUUUGAAACAAUAAGCGCUAAUAGUUGUGUUUUCUUUUAAAUUUUAGGCCUUGAUUGUUCAACGAGACGGCCCCCGUCGUGCUGGUUUUCAAGGUGCUCCCUCGCUGCCUAGAAGAUGCUGAUGCGGAAUAGAAAAUGCAAAAACGUCGCUUGCUCAACCGCAAAUUGACGGCUACGCUGAAGCGCAUGCCGUGUCUGCGGAAUUUGAACCCCGAGCUUUCCAGAGUUCCUUGGAAAAUCCUCCCAUGCACCUGCCAUGUACAUUGCCCUCCUCGAUGUGGCGUGCAAGAUGGCAGCAGCAGCUGUGGGAACAGUUGAAGAGGCGAAGAAAGGUCCACUUUAUAAUAGGUUGUAUGUAAAUAAAACUGAUCGACCUCAA
rnacentral:lncRNA from 1 species